rnacentral:pre_miRNA from 1 species
ACAGUGUUCGGAUCGUCAGUCUAUCGAGCAAUUUCACCCCCUCGAUGGUAGACUUCCCCUUCGUCGC